UACAGAGGGGGCAAGCGUUGUUCGGAAUUACUGGGCGUAAAGGGCGCGUAGGCGGCCCGCUAAGUCGAACGUGAAAUCCCCGGGCUCAACCCGGGAACUGCGUCCGAUACUGGUGGGCUUGAAUCCGGGAGAGGGAUGCGGAAUUCCAGGUGUAGCGGUGAAAUGCGUAGAUAUCUGGAGGAACACCGGUGGCGAAGGCGGGAUCCUGGGCCAGUACUGACGCUGAUGAGCGAAAGCGUGGGGAGCAAACAGG
rnacentral:rRNA from 1 species